GGCAUGUACUGGUGUUUUUUCUCCACGGUGUUACAUGUGUCAGUGGAAGGGGACCCUAUCCCAACUCCAGUGGCAGCACCUGAAGGCAAAGGCUUAUGAGUCCAAGAGACAUCAUAUCGAAAUGGUGAUACGGGAGAAGCAGUGGGAGUAUAGUCUCAUCUUCAUUUUAUCAAAGGAGAAAUAAAGGCUCUCUCAGCUUUCGGCACUGACCAAAUUGACCCUGCUGACUUGGAUUAUCACAGUGAACCAGUCUCCCUACGGUUCUCCCGUGAACUGGAUGGAGCAGGAAGGGAAAUCUUCUCAAAGAUUUGCUGUGGGCAAUCUCAGGAAUCAAAUACUUACCAGGCUGGGGGCAGGACUUUCUUGGAUACCUGAAGGUAAUAAAAAAGACUGCACUCAAUGAAAUGCAUCCUUAGAAUACAUUCUCCAGCUGUGUUCUAGCAGCUGUUUUUUGUAACCCUCAUUGUUCCCCUUCUGAUUCUUUAGCUCUCAUAUAUACCAUCUACUUUGAUAGAGGGGAUCUAGGUCAAGGAUAGUGGGAAAAGAGGAAAAAAUAAUGAAGUGGCAUUUUCAGUAGCCAUUAUAUAAUCAGAAAAAAACAAUAAACCUAUUUUCAGUGUGGAGAAAAUGAGAUUUUAAUGAAAACAGUAACAAUUUAACACGGAAAUAGUCUGAGAAUAGAUUUUAAGACCAAAUCCACACAGUCAUUUUUUAAAUGAAAUGUUUAAAAAUAUACUUCUAAGGAAAA